rnacentral:tRNA from 1 species
GGCUGCGUAGCUCAGUGGUAGAGCGAGAGUAUCAUAAACUCUAGGUCGUAGGUCCGAUCCCUACCGCAGCUA